rnacentral:rRNA from 1 species
GAAACGACUGCUAAGACUGGAUAGGAAGAAAUAAGGCAUCUUAUUUCUUUUAAAAGACCUAGUAAUAGGUAUACUUUAGGAGGGGCUUGCGCCAUAUUAGUUAGUUGGUAGGGUAAUGGCCUACCAAGACGAUGAUGUGUAGCUGGACUGAGAGGUUGAACAGCCACAUUGGGACUGAGACACGGCCCAAACUCCUACGGGAGGCAGCAGUAAGGAAUUUUCGGCAAUGGAGGAAACUCUGACCGAGCAACGCCGCGUGAACGACGAAGUACUUUGGUAUGUAAAGUUCUUUUAUCAAGGAAGAAAAGCAAGUGGCGAACCAUUUGUUUGCCGGUACUUGAUGAAUAAGCCCCGGCUAAUUAUGUGCCAGCAGCCGCGGUAAGACAUAAGGGGCAAGUGUUAUCCGGAAUUAUUGGGCGUAAAGGGUGCGUAGGCGGUCUAGUAAGUCAGUGGUGUAAUGGCAACGCUCAACGUUGUCCGGCUAUUGAAACUGCUAAACUUGAGUUAGAUAGAGGCGAGUGGAAUUCCAUGUGUAGCGGUAAAAUGCGUAAAUAUAUGGAGGAACACCAGAGGCGUAGGCGGCUCGCUGGGUCUUAACUGACGCUGAGGCACGAAAGCGUGGGGAGCAAACAGGAUUAGAUACCCUGGUAGUCCACGCCGUAAACGAUGAGUACUAAGUGUCGGGUUAAACCGGUACUGAAGUUAACACAUUAAGUACUCCGCCUGAGUAGUACGUACGCAAGUAUGAAACUUAAAGGAAUUGACGGGACUCCGCACAAGCGGUGGAUCAUGUUGUUUAAUUUGAAGAUACCCGAAAAACCUUACCAGGUCUUGACAUGUUUUUGCGAAACGGUAGUAAUAUUGUAGAGGUUAUCAGAAACACAGGUGGUGCAUGGUUGUCGUCAGCUCGUGUCGUGAGAUGUUAGGUUAAGUCCUAAAACGAGCGAAACCCUUAUCGUUAGUUGCCAGCACGUUAUGGUGGGGACUUUAACGAGACUGCCAGUGAUAAACUGGAGGAAGGUGAGGAUCACGUCAAAUCAUCAUGCCCCUUAUGACCUGGGCUACAAACGUGAUACAAUGGCUGUUACAAAGGGUAUCUGAAACGUAAGUUCUUGGCCAAUCCCCAAAAACAGUCUCAGUCCGGAUUGAAGUCUGCAACUCGACUUCAUGAAGUUGGAAUCGCUAGUAAUCGCGAAUCAGCAUGUCGCGGUGAAUACGUUCUCGGGGUUUGUACACACCGCCCGUCA